rnacentral:rRNA from 1 species
UACAGAGGGUGCGAGCGUUGUCCGGAAUCACUGGGCUUAAAGCGUGUGUAGGCGGACUUGUAAGUACCUUGUGAAAUCCCACGGCUCAACCGUGGAACUGCUCGGUAUACUGCUUGUCUUGAGCCACUUAGGGGCUGUCGGAACAAACGGUGGAGCGGUGAAAUGCGCAGAUAUCAGGAGGAACACCGGUGGCGAAGGCGGUUCUCUGGGCAUGAUCUGACGCUGAGGAGCGAAAGUGUGGGGAGCGAACAGG